GGACUACUCGGGUAUCUAAUCCUGUUUGCUCCCCACGCUUUCGCGUCUCAGCGUCAGUACUCGUCCAGGUAGCCGCCUUCGCCACCGGUGUUCCUCUGGAUAUCUACGAAUUUCACCUCUACACCCAGAAUUCCGCUACCCUCUCCGAGACUCCAGUCUUGUAGUUUCGAGUGCACUUCCGGGGUUGAGCCCCGGGCUUUCACACCCGACUUACAUGACCGCCUACACGCGCUUUACGCCCAGUAAUUCCGAACAACGUUUGCACCCUCUGUCUUACCGCGGCGGCUGGCAC
rnacentral:rRNA from 1 species